rnacentral:misc_RNA from 1 species
AAAAUGCGAUACUUGGUGUGAAUUGCAGAAUCCCGUGAAUCAUCGAGUUUUUGAACGCAAGUUGCGCCCGAGGCCUUCCGGCCGAGGGCACGUCUGCCUGGGCGUCACGCAUCUCGUCACCACCCCAACCCGAGCCCGCUUCGCGUAGGCUCGGGCUGGUGCGCGGUGGAUGUUGGCCUCCCGUUCCCGCAGCGGCGCGGAUGGCCCAAAUGCGAGUCCUCGGACAAGGGACGUCACGACUACAGGUGGUUGAAUUCUCAUUCAUUCUAUCUCAUUAGCCCUGACGGCCCCCGGCGGAUCUCAACAAAACCCUAGAGCCUCGCUUCACUCUCGAGCGGAGCGGAGCCUUCGAACGCGACCCCAGGUCAGGCGGGAUUACCCGCUGAAUUUAA